rnacentral:rRNA from 1 species
GAGCACGUAGGUGGGUUUGUAAGUCAGACGUGAAAGCCUUCUGUUCAACGGAAGAAUUGCAUCUGAAACUACAAACCUUGAGUGUAGGAGGGGAGAAUGGAACUUCUGGUGGAGCGGUGAAAUGCGUAGAUAUCAGAAGGAACGCCGGCGGCGAAAGCGAUUCUCUGGCCUAUUACUGACACUCAGUGUGCGAAAGCUAGGGGAGCAAACGGGAUUAGAUACCCCGGUAGUCCUAGCCGUAAACGAUGGGCACUAAGUAGAGGCGUUAAU